rnacentral:rRNA from 1 species
CGCGGCCUAUCAGCUUGUUGGUGGGGUAAUGGCCUACCAAGGCGACGACGGGUAGCCGGCCUGAGAGGGUGAUCGGCCACACUGGGACUGAGACACGGCCCAGACUCCUACGGGAGGCAGCAGUGGGGAAUAUUGCACAAUGGGCGAAAGCCUGAUGCAGCGACGCCGCGUGGGGGAUGACGGUCUUCGGAUUGUAAACCCCUUUCAGUAGGAACGAAGCGCAAGUGACGGUACCUGCAGAAGAAGCACCGGCUAACUACGUGCCAGCAGCCGCGGUAAUACGUAGGGUGCGAGCGUUGUCCGGAAUUACUGGGCGUAAAGAGCUCGUAGGCGGUUUGUCACGUCGUCUGUGAAAUCCCUCGGCUUAACCGGGGGCGUGCAGGCGAUACGGGCAGACUUGAGUACUACAGGGGAGACUGGAAUUCCUGGUGUAGCGGUGAAAUGCGCAGAUAUCAGGAGGAACACCGGUGGCGAAGGCGGGUCUCUGGGUAGUAACUGACGCUGAGGAGCGAAAGCAUGGGUAGCGAACAGGAUUAGAUACCCUGGUAGUCCAUGCCGUAAACGGUGGGCGCUAGGUGUGGGGUCCUUCCACGGACUCCGUGCCGUAGCUAACGCAUUAAGCGCCCCGCCUGGGGAGUACGG